UACAGAGGGGGCAAGCGUUGUUCGGAAUUACUGGGCGUAAAGGGCGCGUAGGCGGCCUGCUAAGUCGAACGUGAAAUCCCUGGGCUCAACCCAGGAACUGCGUCCGAUACUGGUUGGCUUGAAUCCGGGAGAGGGAUGUGGAAUUCCAGGUGUAGCGGUGAAAUGCGUAGAUAUCGUAAGGAAGACCAGUGGCGAAGGCGGGUCUCUGGACAGUUCCUGACGCUGAGGCACGAAGGCCAGGGGAGCAAACGGG
rnacentral:rRNA from 1 species